UUGCAAUGAUGAAAGCUUAAGAAGUCAUUGAAAGCAUGUCUAUAUGAUGUGCUUGAUGUGAUAUCAACAUGGUGGAGACCAUGUUGUUACUGAGCGGUUACCUGAGCAA
rnacentral:snoRNA from 1 species